GGCCCAGUAGCUCAGCCGGUCAGAGCAGCGGACUCAUAAUCCGUCGGUCGAGGGUUCAAGCCCCUCCUGGGCUACCA
rnacentral:tRNA from 2 species